GACAGAGUUGAGGCUCUUAAAAGAGUAGAGUGGAAAAUUAAGCAUUAUUUCUAUUAAAAACCAUGACAGGGUGAAUCUAUAACGACUCUGUUUCUAAAAAUAUCGGUGACAGGGUUACGGCUUCAUAACGGGAAAGUUGGACCUAUAAAGCAUCAUUUUCAUAAGUUGUCAUGACAGAGUGGAUCUAAACGGAUCGAUAUAUGUAUGCAUGCCGCACAGAUAUAGAAAAAAGAAGUGGAUAUUACCUCAAUGAAAAUAUACAACAAUGGAAGAAGUUUAUUUAAUGGGUUAUUAUGUGAAUAAGUGGAAACAAAGGACCGAGAAAUCUACAACAGAAGUCCAAGGCCCACAG